GUCUGCAGCUGUAUCACCCUGAACGCAUCCGAUAUCUCUGAUCUUGGAAGUUAAGCAGGGUUGGGCUUGGUUAGUACUUAGAUGGAAGAAAUCAAUAAGCUGAACUUA
rnacentral:rRNA from 1 species